UUAGCGGCGGACGGGUGAGUAACACGUGGGUAACCUGGCCUGUAAGACUGGGAUAACUCCGGGAAACCGGGGCUAAUACCGGAUGCUUGUUUGAACCGCAUGGUUCAAACAUAAAAGGUGGCUUCGGCUACCACUUACAGAUGGACCCGCGGCGCAUUAGCUAGUUGGUGAGGUAACGGCUCACCAAGGCAACGAUGCGUAGCCGACCUGAGAGGGUGAUCGGCCACACUGGGACUGAGACACGGCCCAGACUCCUACGGGAGGCAGCAGUAG
rnacentral:rRNA from 1 species